GACGAACGCUGGCGGCGUGCUUAACACAUGCAAGUCGAACGGUGACGGAGAGCUUGCUCUCCUGAUCAGUGGCGAACGGGUGAGUAACACGUGGGCAACCUGCCCCAGACUUCGGGAUAACGCUUCGAAAGAGGUGCUAAUACCGAAUACGAACCUCCCUGGCAUCUGGGAGGUUGGAAAGUUUUUCGGUCUGGGAUGGGCCCGCGGCCUAUCAGCUUGUUGGUGAGGUAACGGCUCACCAAGGCGACGACGGGUAGCCGGCCUGAGAGGGCGACCGGCCACACUGGGACUGAGACACGGCCCAGACUCCUACGGGAGGCAGCAGUGGGGAAUAUUGCGCAAUGGGCGAAAGCCUGACGCAGCAACGCCGCGUGAGGGAUGACGGCCUCGGUU
rnacentral:rRNA from 1 species